UUUGGAUAUAUUGCAGUCAGAUGUGAUAGGAAAGAAGGGAAUGGAGGUGGGUGUCUUUCAUUGAGUGAGGUAUUCCAUAUAAAAUAAAGGAAAGGGGAUUUGGACUAUGUAGGAAUAGAGGUAUGGAUUAGAGGGAAGGUAUAUUAUGAUCAGUCCACUGAUAAUUUGUUUAGGGAUGACUAAAACAACACCAAUAUGUGCUUUACAAGUAAAAUCCAGAGAAAUAUUACAAGGCAAGAGUUAAAGGUUAAUUAUUGGAUAAAUUUGAAAGUUCAUAAUAAAAGUCAUCCUAUUAGAAAAUUGUUGGGAAAGAGGAAAGGAUAAAAAAAUAAAAAUAAAAAGUUUUGGGUGGGUUGAGGAUAAUGAAGCUAGAGCAUUUAAAGUUUAUUACAAAGAAUUCAGUCAGACAGUACAGUGGCUUUCAGGCCUACAUGGACAUGGCAAUACAUUAAUGUAGGCAGAUCAUUAUUGGAUAUAAAGAAGAGAAAAAUUACAACAGAUAUUUGUCAAGAAUGUUAGAAAGGAAUAGAAAUGUGGGGAAACCUGCAGUCAGCUGAGACUGAAGUAGUCACUUGGAUGAGCGACGAAACAUUUCUUCCACUGAAAACGUCCAGAUGAACAGAAUCAACUGUUUGGGAUUUACUCACCUGGAUGACUGAGGAUUAUCUACAGACCUCGGAGACAGGAUCGUAACGAGGCACAGAUCUAAGGAAGGUUACAGAACAAUGUCUGUAGCCUUGAAGGUUUCAGUGAGCACAGUUUGGAACCACCAGGACUCACUAGAGCUGGCUGCAUAGCUAACAGGAGGGACCAGGGUAGAAGGGCCUUACUCAGGGAGGUGGCCACGAAUCUAAUGGUCACUCUCACAGAGCUCCAUUGUUACUCUGACAAGAAAGGUGAACAUUCCCGAAGGACGUCUCUCUUUUUUUUGGAAGCAGAAACUGGGAGAGGCUGGAGGGAAGGAUGUACACAGCAAUGGACGGAGACAUCCUUGAUGAUAACCUGCUCCAGAACGCUCUGGACCUCAGGCUCAGACAAAGUUUUAUCUUCCAACUGAACAGUUUUUGGAAUAAGGCUGUAACGUGACAAAAUGUGGAGCAAAUGAAGUGCUGUGAAUACUUUCUGGAUGCACUGUAGGCUGUGGAGUUUAAAUGAUUCUCAGUUGGUACUAAGGGACCCAAAGUGUGUGCAAAGAUUAACCCAUCUGUAAUAGGGCGGCCCUUAGCGGCUGGAAACACAGUGAGUUGGACGAAGGCAAGUGCAGUGGAACAAAAGUAUUUAUUUGCCAUACAGCUCUCCUUACAACAAUUAACUCCGAGCUUCUUCACAGCACAAUAUAUCCUCCUCUAAUGACAACCAGCAGCCUUAAAUAUGUUCAGCUGUCACAGACCAAACCAUUAUUCCACUCUUAGGUAAAUUCUUAAAUCCCAACCUUCCACCACAGUAUACAAUAUAUCAAUUAGAAUAAAUACAUAAAUACAUUUCACAUUUUCAUAUUAAUAAAUAGUUCACACUUUAAUUUUACACCAAACCCAAUAUUAUAAAAACCCAGAAACCCAAGCACAAAAAGAUUCACCACACUCUCUUUACCAAUGGUCUCUCCUGGAACCUUUAAAUGGUGUCUGGACCCCCGGGGAAACAUUUGCCCAAACACCCUGAAGAGGACACAGGCAAGAAAGACAACCACCACAUUCCUUGAUGAGGAGCAGCUGUGCAGGAUCUGAAACAAGGCUACCAACUGAUUUUAAAAUUCCCAAUAAAUAAUCAAUAAAUAUUUAAACUUCUUGUGUGCAAA